AAGUCGUAACAAGGUUUCCGUAGGUGAACCUGCGGAAGGAUCAUUAACGAGUAAACUUGAAACAGGUUGUAGCUGGCCCCUUUCGCGGGGGGCAUGUGCACGCCUGGCUCAUCCACUCUUCACAACCUCUGUGCACUCAUUGUAGGUCGGUGGAAAAGGCAAAGGUGGUGCUUCCUUUUGGUAGGAUAAAAUCCCCUUUGCUCUCGGAAGCCUUCCUAUGUUUUUACUACAAACGCUUUAGUUUAAGAAUGUAAUCUUUGCGUAUAACGCAUUUAUGUACAACUUUCAGCAACGGAUCUCUUGGCUCUC
rnacentral:misc_RNA from 1 species